UUUUGGCAAACUGCUGUCACCUACUCAAACCUACAGAGCAUUUGGACUGAAGAGAUUUUUCUCCAGAACCCAUCUGGUUAAACAGUACAUAAUCUGGGGAGAAAAGAGCCCUGGACGCCAGUACUGUGAAGAGUGGAGGCUACCUGGGGGAGGACAGGAAGAGCCACUAAAACUUAGGUUUUACUAAGAUAAUCUGGAUGUCUAUGUAGGAACUUGCUGGGGCAUGGCUACUCUUCAUAGCCUCUUUCUCAGCUUCCUGCAGGAUUCCAUCACACCAUGACAGAAAGGCUGGUUUAAUCUGUUGGACCAAAGGACCUGGCCCAGAGUCUACAUCACCUCUCUACUCUAGCCCUGAUAAAGGAUGUACAAAUAGAAACACCUACUUUACAGAACUGCUGGACAGCCUCCUAAUGCAAGAGGUCUGCAGAACUUCAUGUCAAU
rnacentral:lncRNA from 1 species